AACCUGCGGAGGGAUCAUUACACAAAUAUGAAGGCGGGCUGGAAUCUCUCGGGGUUACAGCCUUGCUGAAUUAUUCACCCUUGUCUUUUGCGUACUUCUUGUUUCCUUGGUGGGUUCGCCCACCACUAGGACAAACAUAAACCUUUUGUAAUUGCAAUCAGCGUCAGUAACAAAUUAAUAAUUACAACUUUCAACAACGGAUCUCUUGGUUCUGGCAUCGAUGAAGAACGCAGCGAAAUGCGAUAAGUAGUGUGAAUUGCAGAAUUCAGUGAAUCAUCGAAUCUUUGAACGCACAUUGCGCCCUUUGGUAUUCCAAAGGGCAUGCCUGUUCGAGCGUCAUUUGUACCCUCAAGCUUUGCUUGGUGUUGGGCGUCUUGUCUCUAGCUUUGCUGGAGACUCGCCUUAAAGUAAUUGGCAGCCGGCCUACUGGUUUCGGAGCGCAGCACAAGUCGCACUCUCUAUCAGCAAAGGUCUAGCAUCCAUUAAGCCUUUUUUCAACUUUUGACCUCGGAUCAGGUAGGGAUACCCGCUGAACUUAAGCAUAUCA
rnacentral:rRNA from 1 species